AUUGAACGCUGGCGGCAUGCCUUACACAUGCAAGUCGAACGGCAGCGGACCUUCGGGUGCCGGCGAGUGGCGAACGGGUGAGUAAUGCAUCGGAACGUGCCAUUGAGUGGGGGAUAACGUAGCGGAAGUUACGCUAAUACCGCAUAUUCUGUGAGCAGGAAAGCAGGGGACCGCAAGGCCUUGCGCUCUUUGAGCGGCCGAUGUCAGAUUAGCUAGUUGGUGAGGUAAAGGCUUACCAAGGCGACGAUCUGUAGCGGGUCUGAGAGGAUGAUCCGCCACACUGGAACUGAGACACGGUCCAGACUCCUACGGGAGGCAGCAGUGGGGAAUUUUGGACAAUGGGCGCAAGCCUGAUCCAGCCAUGCCGCGUGAGUGAAGAAGGCCUCGGUUGUAAG
rnacentral:rRNA from 1 species